rnacentral:lncRNA from 1 species
AAGGAAGUGCUCAGUAAAUAUGAAAAAAGAACUAAUGUUAUAUUCAGAGACAUAGUCUCCAAUAAUAACACGCAGAGCAGAAGGAAGGUGCAAAAUCUUCAUGCACACCUGAAAACCUUUCUCUGGACUGUCAAGGGCUGAGGUUUCUGCUUUUUUAUUCCUCAAGUGUCUAGCAUGAUGGCCAAAGGAGUUAUAUAUUAUGUUUACCUCCCAUUUUACAUCUAUUAUCACGAUGGCUUCAAACUUCAGACAUUACUUCUGGGAACACUGAUUGACCUUGGCCUUUCCUGCCUGGCCCUGCUUUCUCUCAGCCCUCGGAGGCUUGAAGACACAACCCCAUAAAUCAUCAAGCUCAUACCUGAGGCCUUCCUCCAUCUGCCUAAACUUGGGACAGUUUCUCUUCGCACGUAAGCCUAGUUUUCCUUCCUCUUUUGAGAACCAGUGUGGAGAACACUGAAGACAGA